rnacentral:rRNA from 1 species
UAGGGAAUAUUGGGCAAUGGGCGGAAGCCUGACCCAGCCAUGCCGCGUGCAGGAAGAAGGCCUUCUGGGUUGUAAACUGCUUUUAUCUAGGAAGAAAAUACCCUUGCGAGGGGAACUGACGGUACUAGGUGAAUAAGCACCGGCUAACUCCGUGCCAGCAGCCGCGGUAAUACGGAGGGUGCAAGCGUUGUCCGGAUUUAUUGGGUUUAAAGGGUGCGUAGGCGGCUUAGUAAGUCCGUGGUGAAAGCCAACAGCUCAACUGUUGAACUGCCAUGGAUACUGCUAGGCUUGAGUACAGACGAGGUAGGCGGAAUUGAUGGUGUAGCGGUGAAAUGCAUAGAUACCAUCAAGAACACCGAUUGCGAAGGCAGCUUACUAGGCUGUAACUGACGCUGAGGCACGAAAGCGUGGGGAGCGAACAGG